rnacentral:rRNA from 1 species
CGAGUAGAGUGGCGCACGGGUGAGUAACACGUAGGNAUCUACCUUUGGAUUGGGAAUAACAACCGGAAACGGUUGCUAAUACCGAAUAAUGCAGCGGCACCUAAUGGUGACAGUUGUUAAAGCGGGGGAUCGCAAGACCUCGCGCCUGAAGAGAAGCCCGCGGCGGAUUAGCUAGUUGGUCGGGUAACGGCCUACCAAGGCGACGAUCCGUAGCCGGCCUGAGAGGGCGGUCGGCCACACUGACACUGACACACGGGUCAGACUCCUGCGGGAGGCAGCAGUCGGGAAUUUUGGGCAAUGGGCGAAAGCCUGACCCAGCAACGCCGCGUGAAGGAUGAAGUUUCUCGGAAUGUAAACUUCACAAGAACAGGAAGAAUAAGAGGGGGCUAAUAUCCCUCUCGAUGAC